rnacentral:sRNA from 1 species
UAUAUAUAGAUAUAACUAUAUUUUCUAAUAUAUAUAAAAAGAUACGGAUCGAAGCGGAUAUUCGAUUUUUUUUUAAACAAUAUUUGUUAUUUGAUUCGGUUUUUAUGAAUACUACAUUUUUCUAUUUGCUUUGCUCCAAAAUCUUACGGAUAUUCGGAUUUUUUGAAUCAAAUCAAAUACCGAAUCGAAGCAGAUCGAACGAAUAUUUUGCCAAGCCCUACUGGCUAGUAAAACAAA